rnacentral:rRNA from 1 species
CUUUAAUGGAGAGUUUGAUCCUGGCUCAGGACGAACGCUGGCGGCAUGCCUAAUACAUGCAAGUCGAGCGGACUUGA